ensembl:lncRNA
GGACCUUGAACCCCACAGCUGCGCCAGCCCACCUGGCUCUGGUCUGUAGGGCCACAGGCACUGUGCUCUGGGUUGCUAACUAUGGAGGGACCUCACAAGCCUUUGAAAACAGUGAGAGGACUCGGAGAAGCAAAGUUAAACUCUCCAGGAGCAGAAGACAAAAGGAAAACUGGCAUAAAACCAGAACUUACUCCAUCCGUGUCAUCGAUAUAACUGGAUCAACCGCCCUUCUCCCAUCCAGCCUGGCUUUAUAUCUCUAAGUAAUGGAAAUAAGAGCUGGGAAGCACAGCAAUCUUUGGCCUCAUCACGAUUUCUCCAAGCAGCCUGCCUGAUCUCCAAUGGACAUCUACAAGGCGAGGAGGAGACUAUUUCUAGAUGGAUCACCUUUUGCUUCCCAGAAGUGCCUCCUCAGCCGUUGGCACAGCCCAUCCACCUGUGGCAUCAGACUGUCUUGCACCCUUUCCCAAAGCCAGAGGUGGUGCCAACAGUGCAGCUGCUGAGCCGUUGGAGCAGGCACAUGGUGGUGCCCCCAAGGCCGGUGCCAAUUGUCCCACUGCCACUGCACGGUGCUGUUUGUCUGGCAGAGCUCUGUGGCUGGGCUGUCCCAGUGUGGAUCCCUUAUCCAUGUGGUUGUCAUUAAUUCCAUCACUGCAAACAUCAUCCUGAGGUAUCGGGCUGCAUUGAGCUAUCAAUCUCUGUUUGCCAAUUCCUUUGUAGAGCAAACAGCCCAAAAGGAAAGAGAGGAGAAGAAAAGAGGCAAACAAUUCCUUUUGCCCAUUGGCUUGUGCAAAGCACUCGCUGUAAAAUAGCCCCCACAGCCCCACACUAUGUCCCUCAUGCAGAGGAACGAGUCAGGAAUUCCAUGCUCCAACUGCUACCACUGAACUGUCCCUACAGG